rnacentral:tRNA from 1 species
GUUGUGAUGGCCGCGUGGUUAAGGCGUUGGACUUGAAAUCCAAUGGGAUCUUCCCGCGUAGGUUCGAACCCUAUUCACAGCG